UAACUUUUAUCAAACCUAAAUCUACCUUCAAGUCUCAUCUCCCUCACUCCUCAUAGAAGUAAAAACCCUAAAUCUCUUAAAUUUUCAUACUUCUCUCAAAGGCAUUUUCUUGAUAUGUUAAGAAACAUUUUUCUUGGUUUGGGAAAAAUACCAAGUUGAAAAAUUGCUACCCAUCUCACCACAAGAUAAAUUUGAGAGCGAUGACCUAGAUAUUCAACGCAAUCAUAUUUUGGGAUGGAUGAAAGAAUUGUGGAACAAAUGGAGAGGACAAUUGCAUGCAAAGUACGUGAGGGAUAAACCAAUCCAAGAGGCUCUUAAGAAUAUACCAAAUGGGGUAGACAAGAAACAAUGGGAGUGGUUGGUAAAAUAACAUUUUUGUACAGAAAGUUUUCAGGCAAAAAGCAACAGGAAUGCAACAAAUAGAGCUAAGUUGAAGAUGCCUCAACAUAUCGGCAGCAAGCUAUUAGAGAAGUUAUUUAUCAAAAGGCUCAAAUUCAAGAAUUGGUGCAGUCCAAACCAUCUCUUUCCAAUAUAGAGAUAGUGGAAAAAUGCUUUGGACCUCAUACUCGUAGUCAUGUAUUUGGUUUUGGGAGUGGAGUAAAAGCAAAAGACUUAAAAGAUGGUGGUUCCUCAAAGGCCGAAUUAAGAUCCGAGUUACGUUCUGCUCUAGAGUAAAACGAGUCAUUGAAGGAUUGGUUGUCUACCGUAGAAAAUGAGGUGAAAGAACUGAAGGAACUAAAAGAAUUUUUCUUGAUCCAACAGUCUAAUGUCCACCCUCCGGUGGCUCAACACGCUAAUGUCCAGCCUUCGGCAUCACCAUAUUAGGAGAAUGACCAUUGAUAAAUAUACCAAGUUAGUAACAACUUACUCAUUUCAAAUAUCAUUUAGUUAGUAAAUAUUUGAAUGCAAUACCUGAUGUCUAGCAUCGUGCUUCUCUUUUAAGUGGAUUGAUGUGUUCUAUGUUGUUGUAACUGUCAUACAGGAAAUGUUAUGUUGCUGCAACUAGUAAAAUCCCUCUUGUCUUUUAGAUUUUCACUCCUCGUUUACAUUGCUAUUUUAUUUUUGAAGUGUAUAUAUAUUACACUUGGUGAAUUUGGACACCUUUUCAGGUUUUGGAGGCUAUCAAGAUGUGGGUUUUAAAGACAUACAAUCAGUAGACUUUUUCUUUGCUAGGAAUGUUGGACAAAAUAUCAUAUUAAUUUUAGGGAUGUUAGAUAGAAGUACUUUUGCUAAAGGGGUGUCCAAAAAAUAUUUCACCAUGGUUGUACAAUGCUACUAAUUUUUUGUCAGUAAUUAUUAUAUAUGAAACCAUAUCUUUCUUUAUUA